GUAGAUGAUCUCCAUACUGACAUUACCCAGAAUCCCUCACCUCUCCAGUCAGCAGGUAGAUGAUCUCCAUGGUGACAUUACCCAGAAUCCCUCACCUCUCCAGUCAGCAGGUAGAUGAUCUCCAUAAUGGCAUUACCCAGAAUCCCUCACCUCUCCAGUCAGCAGGUAGAUGAUCUCCAUAAUGACAUUACCCAGAAUCUCACCUCUCCAGUCAGCAGGCAGAUGACUCAUAAUGACAUACCCAGAAUCCCUCACCUUCCAGCAGGGUAGAUGAUCUCCAUAAUGACAUUACCUUGUGAAUCCCUACACCUCUAGUCAGCAGGUAGAUGAUCUCCAUGGUGACAUUACCCAGAAUCCCUCACCUCUCCAGGCAGCAGGUAGAUGAUCUCCAUACUGACAUUACCCUGAAUCCCUCACCUCUCCAGUCAGCAGGUAGAUGAUCUCCAUACUGACAUUACCCAGAAUCCCUCACCUCUCCAGUCAGCAGAUAGAUUAUCUCCAUGGUGACAUUACCCAGAAUACCUCACCUCUCCAGUCAGCAGGUAGAUGAUCUCCAUAAUGGCAUUACCCAGAAUCCCUCACCUCUCCAGUCAGCAGGUAAAUGAUCUCCAUAAUGACAUUACCCAGAAUCCCUCACCUCUCCAGUCAGCAGGUAGAUGAUCUCCAUAAUGACAUUACCCAGAAUCCCUCACCUCUCCAGCCAGCAGGUAGAUGAUCUCCAUGAUGACAUUACCCAGAAUCCCUCACCUCUCCAGUCAGCAGGUAGAUGAUCUCCAUACUGACAUUACCCAGAAUCCCUCACCUC